rnacentral:rRNA from 1 species
UACAGAGGGUGCAAGCGUUGUUCGGAAUUAUUGGGCGUAAAGCGCGUGUAGGCGGCUUUGCAAGUCGGGUGUGAAAUCCCUCAGCUCAACUGAGGAAGUGCGCCCGAAUCUGCAGAGCUUGAGUACCGGAGAGGAUGGCGGAAUUCCCCAAGUAGAGGUGAAAUUCGUAGAUAUGGGGAGGAACACCGGUGGCGAAGGCGGCCAUCUGGACGGAUACUGACGCUGAGACGCGAAAGCGUGGGUAGCAAACAGG